GUAGGUCCCGAGCGUUAUCCGGAUUUAUUGGGCGUAAAGCGAGCGCAGGCGGUUAGAUAAGUCUGAAGUUAAAGGCUGUGGCUUAACCAUAGUAUGCUUUGGAAACUGUUUAACUUGAGUGCAGAAGGGGAGAGUGGAAUUCCAUGUGUAGCGGUGGAAUGCGUAGAUAUAUGGAGGAACACCGGUGGCGAAAGCGGCUCUCUGGUCUGUAACUGACGCUGAGGCUCGAAAGCGUGGGUAGCGAA
rnacentral:rRNA from 1 species